GCUCCACAGUGGUGUGCACUGCCACACCGCCACCCAGCUCUCUCCCUUUACCACUCUCUCCCUUUCUCACUCUCUCCCUUUACCACUUUCUCCCUUUCUCACUCUCUCCCGUUCUCACUCUUUCUUUCUCUCUCUCACACUCUCUCAAUGUCUCUCUCUACCACUGUGUUGGAGGAAGCGGCCGUUCCUCCUUUCUCCGUUACCAGGAGUCUGGGCAGGGAGAGACAUGCUCUCCCGGUCCCCUUGCUGUGCGCCUGUCCUCUGCCUCCCUCCCUCCCUCCCCCUGUCCCCUGUCCUCUGGUGCCUGGCAGCCGCUGAAGGUAUGUGUGACAUUGAGAGGGAUCGGGGAGCUGCAGCCUUGGGCCAGGCAGAGUUGGCUGGUGCACCUGCAACCCUUGAGUCUGGGCAUUAGAGCUGAAGGAUUGGGGUCUGCUGAGGGUCGUAGGAGGAGAGAACUGUUGCCGCGGGGACAACACAAAAGCACCAAGAUCUGACUGUUGUGGUUUGAUUUGGUGCUGGGUAAUAUCACAGCGAGAGGGAGCGCUGUGGCGAUUGGCUGGGCUCCCGCUCCCUAUUCACCAGCCCAGGAAGAGACGGGGAGACCUGCUGAGAAAAUGGUGUCGUAAUCAGGAGCCGGCAGUUCUGCCU